UACAGAGGUCCCAAGCGUUGUUCGGAUUCACUGGGCGUAAAGGGUGCGUAGGCGGUCGGGUAAGUCUGAUGUGAAAUCUCACAGCUUAACUGUGAAACUGCAUUGGAUACUAUCCGGCUAGAGGAAUGGAGGGGAGACUGGAAUACUUGGUGUAGCAGUGAAAUGCGUAGAUAUCAAGUGGAACACCAGUGGCGAAGGCGGGUCUCUGGGCAACAACUGACGCUGAGGAGCGAAAGCGUGGGGAGCGAACAGG
rnacentral:rRNA from 1 species